rnacentral:rRNA from 1 species
AGUAACGCGUAGGUAACCUGCCUGGUAGCGGGGGAUAACUAUUGGAAACGAUAGCUAAUACCGCAUAAUAUCUUUGAUUGCAUGAUUGAAGUUUGAAAGAUGCAACUGCAUCACUACCAGAUGGACCUGCGUUGUAUUAGCUAGUAGGUGAGGUAAAGGCUCACCUAGGCGACGAUACAUAGCCGACCUGAGAGGGUGAACGGCCACGCUGGGACUGAGACACGGCCCAGACUCCUACGGGAGGCAGCAGUAGGGAAUCUUCGGCAAUGGGGGCAACCCUGACCGAGCAACGCCGCGUGAGUGAAGAUGGUUUUCGGAUCGUAAAGCUCUGUUGUAAGAGAAGAACGCGUGUGAGAGUGGAAAGUUCACACAGUGACGGUAACUUACCAGAAAGGGACGGCUAACUACGUGCCAGCAGCCGCGGUAAUACGUAGGUCCCGAGCGUUAUCCGGAUUUAUUGGGCGUAAAGCGAGCGCAGGCGGUUGGAUAAGUCUGAAGUUAAAGGCUGUGGCUCAACCAUAGUAUGCUUUGGAAACUGUUCAACUUGAGUGCAGAAGGGGAGAGUGGAAUUCCAUGUGUAGCGGUGGAAUGCGUAGAUAUAUGGAGGAACACCGGUGGCGAAAGCGGCUCUCUGGUCUGUAACUGACGCUGAGGCUCGAAAGCGUGGGUAGCGAACAGGAUUAGAUACCCUGGUAGUCCACGCCGUAAACGAUGAGUGCUAGGUGUUAGGCCCUAUCCGGGGCUUAGUGCCGCAGCUAACGCAUUAAGCACUCCGCCUGGGGAGUACGACCGCAAGGUUGAAACUCAAAGGAAUUGACGGGGGCCCGCACAAGCGG